UGCCAGUAGAUGAAUAACAAUUCACUGGGAGUGGAGCAAUCCGAAUUGCUGAGGACUUGUCUGGCUGUUCCCAUAUAUUCGGUCCAAAUUUGGGCAUCUUCUUCAAAAGGAAAAGGCAGGUGUUUUCAAAUACUACCACUGGUGUGAGUUCCUCAGUGCAUCUUCACUUUCAUUGCCCCAGUACAUGGAGAAGCUUUGUUUUCAUAGCUGAUAAGAAAAAUCUCCUCCUAUAUGUUUUCACGACUUCUGGCGCAUCUGAAUCCCAAGUUCCAGAAGUAACUUACCACUAAUGCAAAGCUCUUGGAUAGCCCCCUAUUUACUUGCUUUGGAGCUGCACUUACAGGUCCCACCGCCUGAAACACUGCAAUCAAGCUGACAACACAACCAAUCAAGGUCUGACCUGCAGCCGUUACCUAGGAAACCCAAGCCACUGCCACAGAAACAGAUUGUACACUGUGGAAGAAAACAUAUAUUUUGGGUGAAGGCGGAAAAAAAUAAAAAAAGGGCAUUUCAGAUAUUUUUUCCAGUACUUUUGAGUUAUUACAAAGCACUUCUGAAAUAAUAGUAAUGAAAAAUACUCUUGUUAAGAAAGAUUGAGUGAUGAUGGUCAUGUAAGUAAUUCAAGCAGGGUAGACAGCCUCUGAGAAAGACUGUGAGCCAGUGCUGUUUGAGUGCUUGUUCCUGCUUUGCUACUGAGUCACUUCAUAACCCCUGCCAAGUCAUUGCAAAAAGAUUUCCAAGUCAUUAAGUCCAUAGUUCCAAUGAACAAUAAGUUCAGAUCAAAACAGGUUGAGUACCUGAAGAAGAAUACUUGGAAGAAAACAACAAGAUUAUCAUGACCAUACUGGAAACCCUGA